UACGGAGGAUGCGAGCGUUAUCCGGAUUUAUUGGGUUUAAAGGGUGCGUAGGCGGUAUUUUAAGUUAGUGGUAAAACGUCGGGGCUUCACCUUGAUUGGCCAUUAAAACUGGAGUACUAGAGUACAGACGAGGUAGGCGGAAUAAGUUAAGUAGCGGUGAAAUGCUUAGAUAUAACUUAGAACCCCGAUAGCGAAGGCAGCUUACCAGACUGUUACUGACGCUGAAGCACGAGAGCGUGGGUGGCGAACAGG
rnacentral:rRNA from 1 species